rfam:Syphacia muris strain Valencia genome assembly, scaffold: SMTV_scaffold0001007
AAACUUACCUGGCUGGGAGGCUUCCAGUGAUCACGAAGACUGGACCUUCAUGGUGAGGCUUAACCAUUGCACUUUCGGUUGGGCUGACCUGUGUGGCAUUCCCGAGUUGGGAUUGGCCAACAGCAUAAUUUUUGCGUUUGGGGGAGCGUCCGCGCUUCCCUGC